CGGCGCUCUGCGCCCGCCGCGCGGGGCUGGCCGAGGGGGAACCUUCUGGAAGGGCCCGGGGCCGGGCCGUGCCCGGGGGCUCGGGGGACUCCGUGCCCUCGUGUUCGUGAAGAGCAAGGUCAGUCCUGGGACUGAGAACUUUACUCGGGUGCGACGGCCGAUUUAAUUCCAGCAGUCAGCCCCGCGGCCGGGACAGAGGGAUAACCGGGGAUGUACCGCCGUAAAACAACCCCGAGGCUUCCCUGGAAGAUCCUGACAGUUUCGGGAAGGCUCUGUUACUUUCCAGUCUUUUCCAGGGUAAAUUUAUCCACCACUGAGGGAGAACCCCAGCGGCUCCUGCCCCCGUGGAAAGGGUGCCGAGAGGAAGAGCUGCAGCCCAAGGCCGGCUGAAAACCCGGGGUUAAAACCAGAGUAUGUUUGCUCAGCAGGUACCCGAAGGAGCGACCCUGAGGUUUGCUCUCCCGUUUUGCUCUGUCGGCCCCUUUGCGUUUAUAGGUCUUUUGGAAUCCAACCAGAGGACUGCAGGUGAGAGAGAAGCAGGGAUACACAUCACCAGAAGGUUGUGUUCCAGCAGUGGGAAAGCUUCAGGAAGCUGCUAAAAGCGUUCUACACUGCAUUUUUCUCUGACCAGACUUCACGUGAGUGACCAAAUGACAGGCCAUUAUUUUUUGCAUUUCCGAGGAAGUAAUAUUUUUGCUACUUGUGACUAUUUGUAAUUUUUGCUAUUAUAGUAAGCACCUAUCCAAUCAAUCUUGAUUUUUAAAUCUCUUUUAGUCUCUUGAACAAAUACGUUUACAAGAAAAAUCAGGUUUGUUUAGAAUCAUGGAAUGAUUUAGACUGGAAGGGACUUUGAAGGUCAUCUGGUCCAACCUCCUACUCAAAGCAGACCUAACCUACUAAGAUGGGUUGGUUUUCUAUUAAUUUUUUUUUUUAUUUCAAUAGCAGUAUUUUAUGGCAAUAGUUCUUGCUGAAGAGCUUGUUCUAAACCACUUUCCAUUUACUAAUUUCCCCUGUUAACUUUGCUGCUAUAAAUAUUCCCUGUAGUCACCUUUGGAAUCAACAAUCCCUGUUCACAAUUUAUUCUCUUGCCUCUUGCAUUGACAAUGGCAAAGAAUAGACUAACCUGAAUAUGCAGAGUAAAAUACAGUUUGGAAAAUGAGGUUUAUUAUCCCAUAUUCUGAAGAAUGACCAUACCUCAGUCCAGGAUUAUUGCUUUGAAGCUAAAGGAAAUUAAACCAUUCUUCUACCUUUAGGCCCAAAAGAAAAUGACUUCAUUUCCGUGUAUUUCCAGAGACGAUGAGCUGCUGAUCUAUGAUUCUUCUCAACUUAUAGGACAGCUGAACAAAAUGUAAAAACCAAAGGCCUGGCUUUGCACUCAGCUGUUCUGGUAUAAUCCAAGCUCAGCUUCUCUGGUGUUAAUGAAUUUAUUCCAGUUUUACUGUGCUGUGAUCAAACCAGAAUAUACUGUAUAGUUUGUGUGAAAGAACUGGGCCAUUUUCUUCUGUUUUCAGAUGGUGAGCUGUCUGUUAGUUGGUCUCUAGCCUCCCUUUCUCACCCUUUCCCUAUUCUGUAAUUUAAAAAAAAAUGUGUAUUUGCAAAAGAACAACGACAAACUCUACCUGAAAAACUGUGUUACACAGUCUUGUUUUUUAAAGAGAAGCCCCCUGCAGACCAUGAAACCCAGGAAGGAUCCUGUGGAGGAUUUGGCCAUGUUUAGAAAGCAUCCAGAGUAGCUAUGACAACUUCAUGUCCGGGGGCCAAGAUCGUGUCCACAUACCAAAUCUCUGACACUAUGCAAGAUCCUUAUCCAACCUAAAGAGGAAACUGUAAAAUUAGAAUUGCCUAAAAUAACCCCUAGAGAGACUAUUGCCGGUUCUUGAGAAGAGUUGGGGUUUUUUUGACAUCUCAAAUACAGCUUUUUCUUAAAAUGUCUGAAACAGGAAACUAGUGAAAGAAAAGAAAAUAAUUAAAUGAAUAAGGUAUCCACAACCCUGGAAAAACAGGUUCCCAGCUAGGUCCUUUUUUUGUUAUUUGCUGUGAUUUCUUUAACCUUCUUUGAUCAGUUAAAUGGACUUGGAGUGUUAUAGAAGCCUCUGAAAUAUAUCGAUAUAAUUUUCUUGGGUUUAUAUUUGAAAUGGGAGGGGUAUCCAAUGUGGGUUCCAGCUCCCUCUGACCUGGAUGAGCUGGGAUUAAUGCUGAGUGCAGCGAGGGAGGCUGAUCUCAGCACAGGGAGGUGAUCAGGGUCUGAUCCAUUACCUGGUCCAGGCAGUUCGGAUGCUGACUGUAUUUUUUUGAUAUUACAUGUGGAAGUGAAGCAUUCCAGCUGAUAGAAAUCUGCUUGUCCAUGCAAUGAAUAUGUUGGCUACAGCACCUGCAGCCUGUGCUUUCUGGUAAAAGCUGAGCUCUGUGUUAAUUCUCUUAGUUAUUGAUUGGUAAUAUUGUUUCUGCUUCCUGUCUCUGCAGUUAGGUUUUUACAUCCUGCCUGUAGUUGAUCCCUUCCUGUUUCUCUGGGCAUGGCAAGGUUGUGUAAAGCAGGUUUUUAUAAAGGAAGAGAGACUUGCAAAAUGCAUUACUAAAGGUACUGAUUUAAAAAACCAGGUGCACAAAUGAUGUUUGGGUUUAAGUAGCCAGGAUGAGGUUUUGAACAUUGGCUCAGGCAGAACCAAACUCAAACAUUUUAAUAAUGGCAUGUUAACAUAACUGCCUUAUGCAAAAUAUUUCUGGCUGCUUUUUAUGAAAGUAAACAGAAAGAGUGAUAUAUCUGGAUAAAGAGGAGCAGAUGGUAAUUUUCAUUAUUCCUCCCUUCCCCUCUCCUUUUACUUGCGUCCCAGGGAGGGAGAACUAAAAGACAAAAUCUCCUCUUUAGUGACUUUGGAACAGAAACUCCAAAAUAGAUAUCCCAACUUAUGCCUUACCGUUUGCCCUGUGGGGUCAUGCUCUUGAAUGCUCUUCAUCCACUGGAUUAAUAAAGCCAAAGGAUUUUUGUUACUGAAAAAAAAUGUUCACAUUUUACACGAGUUAAGGACUGCUUGGAUUUGUGAAAACUCAUUUUUGGUGUCUAAGUUCUUAUCCAGCAAGAACUCUCCACUGUGAUAAUGGUUAUCUGCAAGUCAGUUUUAACUUGGCACCCUUCACAUUUGGCAGCAGAUUUUAGCUUUACGUAACACUGAGUUAUUAUUAAUGUACCAUAUUGCAGAUUUUAUGAAGGAACCAAGUUUUCAAGUGUUGGGGUUUUUUUUAAGUCAGGAAAUGCUACAGAUAGGCUUUUUACAGGCAUGUCACUUUAUGCUCUACAUGUCCCGUGCAUUUAUUAUAUUUCCCUUAAAAUAACCAUCCUUAGGUUAGUGCACAUAUUUAGUAAUCAAAGCCAUGUAUUAUACCGCCUGAAUACAAAAGGUUUCACUCCAUGUUUCAAGAUCUUUUUCAUUCUCCACAUUUAUAACAUGACCUGUGUUAAUAUUGCAUUGGCACUGGUGGGUUUUUUUUUAUUUGACACAAGUCUAAGGAUGUCUGAGUGGUCCUGGUUCAAGGUGUCUGUCACAUGAGGUACAGAAUUUCUCUCAGUAAAGAUUGCUUUGUUUUUAAAUUCAAGUGAAUCAGAAAAAAUACCUGUAAAAGGCUAAAAAGUAUUUAAGGGUGGUGGAGGAUGCACUUGGGGACAGCAGUUCAUACAGUGGUGGGUAAAGUGGUGUGAGCCUGGCAUGUGUAUAGGGAUGGCACUUAGUAAUUGCUUAUUCUGUUUGCCUUUUUCGUUGACUGAUGUUUUUAUCUGGCUCUCUGGAGUGAGGUAUGCUGGAUGUACUGUGGCUUUCCAAAAGGAAAUACUGAAGUAUGGCUCCCACACGGAGCCAUAAGGAAAAUAAACUGUCAUUUCUAACACACGGCACAUGAAGAAAAGCCCUUUCACAUCACUUUGUUUCCUGCUCAAAGCUGUUUCUCAAACUGUGUAAGAUCUCCAGCUCACAUUAUUGUUCUGAGGGGCUUCAUACAAGAAGGGCUUUUUUUGUCUAGCAAGGCUAAUGAGGUCCUAUAGCAAAAAGACACAUAAUAUCAGUAAGGAAACAGCUAAUCUGACAUUAAUGUUUAAUGUGUUCACUCAUUUCUAAAUGCAUAUUAAUUUGGUGUAACUUUUCUGUCCUUGUACUAGAAUAGAAAGUAGGACAUCUGUGAGUACAGUAAUUAAACAAGUCAACUAAACCCCAUUUGAACAAAAGGCUUGGCAUGGCCAUGUUCCUACAGGUGCUCUUUCUGUGCUUUCCAAAGCUGGGGUGGGUUCUGCUCUGUGUGCAUCACCAUCCCGUGUCCCUCACACACCAGCCUUGUUAGUGCAGCAGUCGAGCACUGCUGUCACAGGAAAAACCAGCAUGCAUUUCUGGUGUUCCUGGGAUCCAUCAGCACUGCCAGUCUCCCCAUCUCCUUUGUGGAGGACACAAAUUAAGGGGUUUUGUAGCUGGACUUGAGGGAUGAGACAUCCUAUCGCUACAUGCAGAGGUAACGGAGCUUUUUAGGUCAGAGAUGUCGCAGAUGUUUCUUUUAGGCCCACAUUAGAAACUUUUGCUCAUACACUGAUGUCAGCCUGGGUCUGAAAAAAACAUAAAUCCCACCUGGCCACUGGAGCUGAGCCAGCACAGUUCCUGGCGUGGACACAGCUGUGCUGCCAGGAAAUGGCUGCUGCCAGAUUAACCUGUUGGGUUCAGAGCCUGGUGCAACUCCAGUGGCACAAAAUCCCCUCUGGCAGUGCCCUUCCCUGCUGCAGAGCUCUGCUGUGUGACACUCACAGGGACUGGGACUGCAGACAGAGGCUCCUCAGGGCGGCAGUUGAGAUGGGCCUGGUGUGAGAACAAAGGGGAGACAAAGACACUGGGAAAGUGUCUGAGAACACAGCAAGAGUCAUUGGCAGGUCUGGUAGGAGGUGUCCCUUUUGACUGCAGGAGCCCCUUCAAAAACUUCCCACUCCAUAAAUCCAUUUUUUUCGCCCCUGGAAGCCACAUUUCCUAUGUAUGCCAGUUUCCACUGGCUGCAGGAACAUCUGCUGAUGGGACUAGGUUUGUUUUGCUUAGAAACACCCAACAUUUAUUGCCCUUCAGCUAAAUGCUGCAGGGUCUGUCCUAGGAGGACUGCUCUGGAUAGCAGAGAAGAGCUGGGUCUUCAGCCAGACCCUAGCGGGACAGUAAAUGCCUCUGGUUCUCAGCAGAUCCUACAGCAAGAACUCUCUCUGCCUGCUUCACAGUCCCAGCAAAAGGACUGCACAAACCCAUAACCCAGCAGUAUAUCAGGUUCAAAGUAUUUCUUCUGUCGUCACAUGCAUCUGCCUUAGGUUAUCAGCAAACCACAGAGAAUUACACCAGCGAGGAAAUAUUCAAAGGUCAGCCCAGGAUCAGUCUGAGUGACAGGUGGUGAUGGGGUUUUUAUUAGGCUUUCUGUCUCUGGUACCUGUUGAUGUAGGAAUGGUUGAGUUCCUGGGAGCCAGCAGCUCCAGGACCCUUUAGUCUAUGGGGACUUGUUUAAUUACCCUUUCUUCCUGAGAUGAACAUAAGAAAGCUUCGAUGGGUUGCAGCAGUGGCAGAGAAACGUGACUGUGAUGCUCUUUGACCAAAAUCAAUUGUCCAAAGCACUUUAGCAUGGAAAAAAUGUCACUGGACAAUGAAAACAACAGGAGUUAGUUAGUGGAGUGAAGCUGCUGGAGAGGUGAUUGUUCACUGUUUUCUGCAGUAUGAGAAGUAGAGGGCAUCAAGUAGAGUUUAAAUUACUCAAUACUUAAAAGAAUCUCUGGUUCCUGAGAUAAAUGGUUGUUUCAAUGAAAGUAUUAGAAUUAUUUUUGGUCGAAUAUCAGGAACUAGUCAUCAAAGAGAUUUGAUAAUGUAGCUAUUUGAAAUCCAUAUCUUAUAAGUGUGAAGUUCUGGCAUGACUGGAAUGAAAGUAUAGGUGAGUCAAGCACAGUAAUUUUGACCCAACUGUAGGCUACAGAAAGUUUGCAGUUUUCCAUUCCAACCAAAGACAAAAAAAUGUAAUAAUCCAAGUAUCAGAACUUCUAAACUAAUUUUCUGAAAAAUCAGGUGCUUCAGAACAAUAUCCAAGUCUUAAGAUACAGCAGAGGGACAGAACAUCUCAGUGGUUGUGUCUGUUGGGCGGAGCCUGGCAGGGCAGCAGGCACGCCUGUCCUGAGAGCAGUGCUUGGGAAGGGGCAGGGCACGACCCCUGCAUUCCCACCGCGGGCACAGCCCAGCACCAGCCUGGGGACAAUGGCAGUGCUCCUGUGAGCUCAGAGGUGCAGGAACCAACCACAGCACAACGGAAAACAGAUUUUUUUCCAAGCUAGAAAAGCCUUUGCCCCCAAGUAUUUUUAACCCACGUAUUUCAGAGCAUGUCAGACAAUUGAUCAGCAAUCUGUUGCUGAAGUGAUGUAUUUAUCUGAUGCGUGGUUUCACUUAGCAGCUACAACACGUACAGCAGAGAACUGAAAAAAAUGAACUGGAACUCUAUGCAAAAACUCUUAUUCAAAACAGAUGUAUUACUUGGUAUAUGUUUAACAUUCUCCUCAUAAUCCCAACUUGAUCCUUAACCAUCAUGCAUUAGAGUGUUGCUUUUAAAGAAGAUGAAAAUGGGCUGCUAAAAUGCUGCCCAUAUAAUCUGAAUUAUUUUCAGCCCUGUUGUUAAAGCUUAGAGAUAAAAUUCUCUUUUGAACUAAGGUUGAAGGCAUCGUGUUUGAUAUAUUGGUAUAAUUCCUGCAAUAUAAAUACUCAUAAAUUAAGUUAGUGGUAUGGUAUGAUUUCCUGUAAUCUGUUUCCAGAAUCAAUAUUUUAUUGAAUGAACUUCUUAUUUUAACUUCUCACUUACUGACCCAGUGGUGCAGCUGUAACGUGUGCUUGAUCACUCAUUCUUUUAAAAUCAGAUCUGACUGUGGAGCAGUGUAGAUGGGGGACAGUUUUGGAAGAAUCGCACUUAAUAUUGUGUGGAUAGAGACUGAAAAUAGCACUAUCACACCCUAAUGUAGAUUCUCCCAUCUUAACAUCCUGUAGUACUUUAGAAAACGGCCAUGUAAUAUAAUCCCCAUUUUAUGGGCAGGAAAACUGAAGCCAUGAUUAUUUCCUUCUUAAAGGAUGCUUAACUUUAAGCACCUCCCUAUAACAUCUACUUUUGUAAAUGUGGAUUUUAUUUUUAAGAAUCUCUUAUGCGUAGCAAUUAUCACUCAGCUAAUUACCCAAGAUUUAUUGCAAGCCUCUGCCAGUGAGUGUGUGACCUCAUGCAGAGCAAAAGGCUGUUUGUUCUGAGCAGGUGGAACUGUAUCACCCAUUGUGCCGUGCUGGGGGUGUUGACAAAGGCAGCAGCAGAUGAAGAUGCUCUGCAGUGCUUUGGGGGCUGGGGUGGUCCACUGGCCCUUCUCUGGGGCAAUGCACAGUUCUUGUGCUGUGUCCUUCUCGGGAACACAAAAACUGCCAGUAAUCAUCAUCAAUCCCUGCAGGUCUCCUGGGAGCCUUGGGUUCCUGCAGCAGAACCUGGUGCUGCAUCUCUAAGCUGCACAGCCAAGAAUGUGAUGAUUUCCCUCUCCUCAAACAGUUCCUCGCUCCCUCUUUUCUUUGCCCUUGCUUGUUCUGCGUCUGUGCUUUACAGGCUACACCACAUUUAAACACACAGUGAUCCCACUGCGGGUUUUGGGGGUGGAGGAGGGAAUGUAGGAGUACUAACAGAAAAAUUGCUCUUUUUGUGGUGACCAGAUCAACUGUAUUAGACGAAACUGCUUUUUUUUAUCAGUGUUUAAAAAGUAUUUUCUGAUGUGGUAAAAACUGUUAUAUGGAUGGAGUUCAAGAAGGUGGAGGGCAUGUGAAAGUUUAUUUUAUAAAGGGAAGACUAGAUUGUUUUGUAGUUAGGGGUUCUGUACCUAAAAUGUCUCUACAGAUUAAAUUUCCAAGUUCUUUGUUCUCAGACACUUUGUUUCAGAUGGGCAAAUGGAGAAUGAACAAUAAGGUUUAAGUCGAUGCCUUCAUAGAUGCAGUCUGAAUCCUCUGAUUUACACAACAUGGUCUCUAGGUUGAUGAUGCCACCAUAAGAUUCCAAGACCUCACAAGUCUAAUCCUGAGAAAUCCCCUGUAGCCAGUGCAUACUGACUUCAUAGGAGUGAGAUAUGAACCUGCCAUCCAGCUUCAGUCUCCUCUGUAGAUUAGUCCAGGACAUCACUCUUGAUGUUUCCAAGGAAUAUGACUCCACAAAGGCUGGUGUCAUUCUCCAGUGGAGUUUAAAAUGGAAUUUAGGAGAUCUGAUAUUCCCAGGGCAGUCAUGCAGUGCUGCAGCAGGAGGGAAACAGACAUCCAAAACAUGCCACUGUAAGAAAAGAGCAAGGAAAAGCCCAGUCCUGGAAAAUGCACUGGCACUACAAAAGAACGUGGAAGUCUGGGGAAACAAUGAAUUGGAGCUGAAAAAUAUUAUAUCAGUCCUGUAUGUUUUUAAUAAGUCGUUGGAAGGUCUUCCGUGAGGAGUUUCUGUUCAAUUUUAUCUCAGUCAGGGAUAGAAGUUGUUCAUUUGGUCCCAUAAAGAGCUGAACUUCCUGAGCAGGCACGUUGGAAGUUCUCUUACAUUGGCAUAGGAAGCUAUUUUUUUUGGUAAAACAUUUCACAUUUAUGUUCUCCCAGAAUUAAAGGCAUAGGGCCUGCUCCAGAGCCCUCUGCAGUCACUGAUACCCUCACACUGAUCUCUGGGAGCUUUAGGGCUCUCUUUUGGACCUCCUUUUUUUUCUCCCCCCUCAGUUAGCUGCCAUUUAUAUAACAGAGUUAAAAAUUUGGGGAACUCAAAGCACACAAAGAAUUUGCAGUUUGGGAUAGGAAGGGAAGGAUUCCACAUCCAGCCAAACCAACCCCUGUCUUCCCUGCCACUUGCUGCUAAGCAUGAGGAGAGUUUUCCAGCUCUGGGUGGGACUGACAGCUCAUUGCUGGGUUCCUGCUGCUCCUGGGAAACCACCAUUCAUCCAGCCUGCAAUCUGCAGAAUAAAGGAACCAGAUAAUCAAUGACACUCUCCUCUGUCCAUAUUUAAACAUUUAUGGCAUAGAUGUUGACAGAUGAUCUCACCAUCUAAACUCCCUUUGUAGUUGACAGAAGGACAAAGACACUUCUGUCUCAUAUUUUUGCAAAUAAACAAAUGGAUAUACACAUAUACAAAUGUAAAGGCUCACAAAGGUUAAUUUAAAUGGUAUCCUGACAAAACUUGAAGAAGAGAAUGAGACGUUCUUUCCUGACCUUUUUUUUUCUUUUGUACUUUGCCAAUUCAAAGGGAAGUCAGUGUGCUUUGUGCAGACAGAAGUGUAAAUCUUUUGAAACUCCAGCAAAAAAUACAUACAGCAGAUAUAAAUACAAAUAAAAUUCAGGGUAGGUGACACCUUUCUGGAGUAGUUAUGACUGGAUAUUCUGUCUACAACUAGCUGUUACAUUAAGGCUGUGGGAACAUCUACAGUGACAAAGCUGACACUUCAUUUUGGCCGCUUUAAUGAGGUGUUCGGUGUCCUGCUCCUCUGCUGGGCUUUUGCAUCACCAACCCAAAAGCUGCACCAUCACUAACACAGAGAGAGAGCCUUUUUCUGUCUCGUGUCCAGUCAAUCAGCUUUCCUCCUGUGCUUCAUCCUGCAGUGUCCCUCUGAGGCAGAGCUGCAGCCUGAGGGUCACAGACCCCAGGGAGUUCUUCGUUUCCUGAGAAAAGAUGAAACCACUGCUAUCUUUGAACAAAACCAUUUAUCUUAGUACAGAACCAGUGUCUUGUUCAUCCCCAAAAACUGAGCUGAAGAGAAGUCUCAGCCCUCCCUCAACACAUGCGAUUCUGUCCUUCAUGAAGGUUGCAAAAACAUCUGUCCUGACACAUCUGGGAUCACAAGGAGACUGAUUAAAAACCUGGAAGACAGACUGAGCUUUCCCAGUCUGAGCUUUCUGCCAUGCAAGCAGGCGCCAUAAGGCAAACCUGACUGAUCUUUUGCAAAAAAAAAAACCCAAAACAACCCAAAACCACAAAGAAUGGAAAUUUCCCCCAAAGAUGGAAAAUGUCUUUGUAGUCAGUUGCUGUUCCCUCGUUGUUCCUGAGCUGCUGGAGCCCUCUCAUGUCUCCUCGAGCUGCUGCAGAGAGGUCGGGAGGAGCCCCUGGACACCGGCAGGAGAAGAGCUGUGCGCUCAGGAGAUUGUGCUGGCUGACGGCACAGGGGGCAGUGCUCAGGAGAUUGUGCUGGCUGAUGGCAGCCCCGGGCCAGCCUGCAGGCCAUGGCACACCUGCCCUGGGCUGGGCACUGGGCUGGGUGUUCGUGGUGACCCUGCCUGCUGUGGCAGCAGAGGGUGAGCAGUGAGAGGGGAGCCGAGCAGAACACGCUGGCCUGUCCCUGCAGGAUGCAGUGUCUCCAUGGGUGCAGCUGGGCUGCCCACCACGGUCCUGUGCUGGGCAGGGGUGUGGGAGGGUCCCUGCACCCCAUGGCUUCGCUGCACAGCUCCUGGGGGCACACCGAGUUUGGACUGAAAGCCAGGAAUUCCCUCUUCUUCCUCUUGUUGUGAUACAGAAAAGAUUUCACCAGUCCCAUCAAACAAGAAGAUCCAUUGGGGUAAUUAAAAACUACUCAUUUAAUACAAACGUCUGGUGUUGCAGUAAACCGGCUGUUUUGUCCACAAAAACCUGACCAUGUUUUCAAUUAAGCCUUAUCCCCUUACUGAUGUUUUCAUAUUUGUGCUACAUUUACAUAAAGUUUCCUGACAAAAUAUGUCUUUCCUCUUGCAUGUUUAUGUGUUUCACGGUUCAGCACAUCUGUGGAAUUGUUUAGCUAUCAACCAAACUAACGCAAUACAAGAACUCUGAUCUCAUUGGGGCUUUCUCUCACCACUUGGACAUUAAGUUGCAACUACUCCUUCAGGUAGGUUUCAGCUCCAGGCUGUUCCCUGCUCUGCCACCUCCCGGGGAGAGCCCUCCCCUGCUGAAGAUAUUUGGGAUGUGGGUGUAUGACUGUGACCCGGCCAGCUGCAGGAGCCAGCCAGUGUGUGAGCAUGGGCUCAACCUGCAGAGCCCUGCAUUAGACACCUCCCUGUAGAGCUUCAUCUUGCAGAGAUGCAGAAUCCCCUUCCCAGAGCCUGCAGGGCACUGCAGGGGGAUGGCUGGCUAAUGGUCAUGGAUCCUCAGUGGGACACAGGUGUCUCUUGUGCCUCUGAAAACCCCCCCAGUCUGACUGGAGAGUCACUUCUCUCUAUCCCAGCAGCCACUUCUUCCAUCACAUUGUUUCACACUUUCUAGCACUGUGGGAACAUCGUGUUCAUACAUGAGGGAGGAAUUUAACUCUCUGAAUGGACCUGGGUGUCAUCAGCUUAAUGAUACUGUUCAGAUAAGGAAAUAAAUGCUACAUGAUGGUGCUUACCCUUGCUUGUGACAAAACACCAGCUGUUGUACAACCUUCCUUUGAAAAUUACCUAUGGACUAGCUUUCACUUUCAUAAAUGCACACAGAAGUGGUUUGGUAGGAUUAGCAUUAGCCUUAAAAAAAAAAAGUGAUAUAUUAUGCAACUGAUUCUUAGUUUUUAAAUCUUCACAGGUGGAGAAGACAUUGAUCAGGACAGAGUCACAUGUGAACAAACCAGCUGAACUGGGAAAAAACUUGCAGUGGCUCAAUAUAUAACAGCUGAUGAAAAGUUUGGGAGCAUCCUGGGCUCAGGGGCCAGUUGGCCUGGAACAGCCCACAUUUACAUUAGUAAAUUCCUGGUUAAACAGGGUGUUUGCAUUCAGAGCCGUGGUCUCACCUACAGGCAUUAGCCAUGGCUUCACUGCUGGUGGCCUUUUGGGACCUCUGAGGUGCGUUUUACUCACAAAUCAUUGUUUAUUUUAAACUCUGUGAUGGUUGAAGUGCAGCUUUGUGAGAAGAUAUGAAGUUCUUGGCAGCAAGUGUGCUGAAUUGCCUUUCUCUUUGAAAAGAGGGAGGCUGUUCACAGUGCUGUGUGGGAGGGGGAUGAGAGGCAUAGGACCUAAGUUAGAACAAACAAUGUUCGUGCUGGGUUUCAAACCCAAUUUUUGUAGCAAAAGGCAGUGGAAGGGGCUGGACUGAGAGGCUGAGCAGCCUCCAUGCUCAGAGGCCUGGAACACCCAGCUGAGCAACCUGCCCUGACCACACAAUUGUCCCUGCACUGAGCAGGAGGGUGGACUGAGGGCCCUUCCAACCUGGAUCUUGUCUGUGGAGCAGGGUGUGACCCUCUGGGACUCACUGAGGCUCCCCUGACUGUGCUCGGGUCAGGGCAGUGUCACUGAGGGGACAGCUGUUCUGCAGCAUCAGCCCUGCAGAAUGCCCAGAAAUGGAGAGGAAAUAUGUGCAGAUUUAAAAUGUUAAAACCACAAGUAUAAUAAAUUCUCAUUUAAUGUCAGUGAGUUAAUGCUGAGAAGGUAAAACAGAACAUCAGAUGUUCUUAUUUUCCCCGAAGCCCAGCUAACUUCACAGACAGAGAUUAUCAUAGGAGCAGUUUCUGAAUAACCCAUUUCAACAACAGGAUUUGUGGCUGGAUGUCAUUGUGGUAACAGCACUGCAGCUACUCUUUCAACAGUUUGGCUCACACCUAUGCACUUCACCCAGCAGUUAAUAUACAUGCUUUGAGUGGUGUGGUGAUCAACACACACAAUUUCCUGGGUGGGCUGCAAAUCCCCAAGUAUGUAUUUUUUCAAGUCGUUGAAGUUUCUGAACAUUUUUGUGUAAUUGUUGUUCUUACUCUCUUUGUCACCUUACGAUGUCUCAACACAGAUUAUUUGUUAGAAAGCCAAGAGCCAGGUGGAGUUCCUGGGGAAAAGAACAACUAAAAAUACUUCUAUUCUGUAUUCAUUCAGUGGCAUUGUCUGAUACUGUAUUACACGAGAUUACUGAUCUAAUGGAGCUUGACAUUGUACAAGAACAGGAAGCAUGAGCCCAAACCUGCCCUAAGCUGUGACACCAGGCCUAGAAAGCACUGUGGAGCGAUAAUGUGCCAAUUAGACGUGUCCAUUUGUGUUGCUUGCAGGCAAUGGAAGACAAGCCUUUCCAUCCUCCCUUCCAGAUUCACUCUCUGUAACAGUUAUGAAUGAGAGGCUGAAACUGUGAAUUACUCAGCCUGUUCAUCAAGAACAGCAGGCCCAAAUUCUUCCCCCUACCUGGCAUGAAGCUUUAUUUAUUAACUUGGUGGGAGCUUCUGGACUGCUCAGAGUAUCCCAGUCAGCCUGGUGUCAUCUGAAAAUAGCUGUCACUCUUCCCAUUCUGAGAGGGUACUGAUGAAAGGCAGCAAUGCUCUCCUGGGGGGGCUGUGUAGUUAUUAAGAAGUAGCCUAAAUGUGAAAAAUAAACAAGUAAUAACAAGUUUUAACCACCAACAGCACAGGCUAAAUAUGAAAGAUGAGGCAAAGGAAAUUCUGGUGUCUGGCUUUUCAGUCCUUCCUAUCAGGAUGAAAUUAAAUACCUUUCUACUAAAAGAGAGCCUGACCCAACGACUGCUGAAAUCAGUGGAAAGACAUCCACUGCAGAGGGUUUCUAGAAAGGCCCACCAUUCUGAAGACAACUGGCUCACACACAGCCAUUCCUUCCUGAUGGAUAUUUGCAGCUGGGGCUAAUAAUAGUAUUUAAUGUUCUUUCUAAUAAAUCUCUUGUCAUAUGUUUAGUAUGUCCAGUGUUAACUUACAUUUCAAGCACGAAAUAUGUUUAUCUCUACUGGGAGUUAUCAGAUGUAAACACAUCAAAAUGCUGUGACUAUUUGACCCCUGCAAACUAAGAUAAUUCUGUAGGAUCCAGAUCUCUGGGUAGAAUUAUUUCCUUUUUUAGUAUCUUGAUGGAAAGAAGUUUAUACUGGCCCUUGAAAAUGGUUUUUAUCACGUUUUCUGAUAGAUACUAUCAUUCUGGUUCUUUGCUUUUGUUUUUUCUUUUUUUGGAGAACCUCUAUAUGUCAUAUUAUCUGCAAAAAUCGCAUGUAAGUGGAGGGGAGUUUUGAACAUACGCCACACAUUAUAAAAAGCAAACUGUGCUUACAAGUAAAUUUCUGAAGAAAUUUUACAUUUUGCAGGAUCACUUCCUAUAUUCCUUUUGUCCUUCUGUUUCUGACACAAGCAAAAUCCCACUGCUGACUGAGGGACAGGCCUGUACGCUCUCUCUAUACAUAACAGAGAAGAGGAGCUGGAUGUGUCCCUAGAAUCUCCUCCUCCUCCUCCUAACUAGUCAUGUCUUGCAAAACUACAGUCAGCUGUGAAACCAGAAUUGAUUUUCUGUUGAAAACUCACUGAAGUUUUGAACUGAUGGAGGGGUUUAAUCCUGGCCCUCUCCCAAGCAGAAACACUUUCUGAAAAUUGAACUUAAAGUCUCUCUCUGAA